CCUACGGGGGGCAGCAGUGAGGAAUAUUGGUCAAUGGACGAGAGUCUGAACCAGCCAAGUAGCGUGAAGGAUGACUGCCCUAUGGGUUGUAAACUUCUUUUAUAUGGGAAUAAAACGUUCCACGUGUGGGAUUUUGUAUGUACCAUAUGAAUAAGGAUCGGCUAACUCCGUGCCAGCAGCCGCGGUAAUACGGAGGAUCCGAGCGUUAUCCGGAUUUAUUGGGUUUAAAGGGAGCGUAGGUGGAUUGUUAAGUCAGUUGUGAAAGUUUGCGGCUCAACCGUAAAAUUGCAGUUGAAACUGGCAGUCUUGAGUACAGUAGAUGUGGGCGGAAUUCGUGGUGUAGCGGUGAAAUGCUUAGAUAUCACGAAGAACUCCGAUUGCGAAGGCAGUUCACUGGACUGCAACUGACACUGAGGCUCGAAAGUGUGGGUAUCAAACAGGAUUAGAUACCCUAGUAGUC
rnacentral:rRNA from 1 species